UAGGGAAUCUUGCACAAUGGGCGAAAGCCUGAUGCAGCGACGCCGCGUGUGGGAAGACGGCCUUCGGGUUGUAAACCACUUUCAGGAGGGAAGAAGCGCAAGUGACGGUACCUCCAGAAGAAGGUCCGGCCAACUACGUGCCAGCAGCCGCGGUAAUACGUAGGGACCGAGCGUUGUCCGGAAUUAUUGGGCGUAAAGAGCUCGUAGGCGGCCUCUUUAGUCGGGUGUGAAAUCUCAGGGCUUAACCCUGAAACCGCACCCGAUACUGGGAGGCUUGAGGCAGGUAGGGGAGAUCGGAAUUCCUGGUGUAGCGGUGAAAUGCGCAGAUAUCAGGAGGAACACCGGUGGCGAAGGCGGAUCUCUGGGCCUGUUCUGACGCUGAGGAGCGAAAGCGUGGGGAGCAAACAGGAUUAGAUACCCGUGUAGUCC
rnacentral:rRNA from 1 species